CCUACGGGAGGCAGCAGUGGGGGAUAUUGCACAAUGGGGGGAACCCUGAUGCAGCGACGCCGCGUGGGUGAAGGAGUGCUUCGGCAUGUAAAGCCCUAUCGGCAGGGAAGAAGCAAGACGGUACCUGACUAAGAAGCCCCGGCUAACUACGUGCCAGCAGCCGCGGUAAUACGUAGGGGGCGAGCGUUAUCCGGAUUCACUGGGUGUAAAGGGAGCGUAGACGGCCAUGCAAGCCAGGGGUGAAAGCCCGGGGCCCAACCCCGGGACUGCCCUUGGAACUGCAUGGCUGGAGUGCGGGAGGGGCAGGCGGAAUUCCUGGUGUAGCGGUGAAAUGCGUAGAUAUCAGGAGGAACACCGGCGGCGAAGGCGGCCUGCUGGACUGCGACUGACGUUGAGGCUCGAAAGCGUGGGGAGUGAACAGGAUUAGAUACCCUGGUAGUC
rnacentral:rRNA from 1 species